UACGAAGGGGGCUAGCGUUGCUCGGAAUGACUGGGCGUAAAGGGCGCGUAGGCGGAUGGCUUUGUCGGGCGUGAAAUUCCAGGGCUUAACCUUGGGGCUGCGUUCGAGACGGGUUGUCUUGAGUGGGGAAGAGGGUCGUGGAAUUCCCAGUGUAGAGGUGAAAUUCGUAGAUAUUGGGAAGAACACCGGUGGCGAAGGCGGCGACCUGGUCCUUUACUGACGCUGAGGCGCGAAAGCUAGGGGAGCAAACAGG
rnacentral:rRNA from 1 species